GAUGAACGCUGGCGGCGUGCCUAAUACAUGCCAGUCGAGCGAACGGACGAGAAGCUUGCUUUUCUGAUGUUAGCGGCGGACGGGUGAGUAACACGUGGAUAACCUACCUAUAAGACUGGGAUAACUUCGGGAAACCGGAGCUAAUACCGGAUAAUAUUUUGAACCGCAUGGUUCAAAAGUGAAAGACGGUCUUGCUGUCACUUAUAGAUGGAUCCGCGCUGCAUUGGCUAGUUGGUAAGGUAACGGCUUACCAAGGCAACGAUGCAUAGCCGACCUGAGAGGGUGAUCGGCCACACUGGAACUGAGACACGGUCCAGACUCCUACGGGAGGCAGCAGUAGGGAAUCUUCCGCAAUGGGCGAAAGCCUGACGGAGCAACGCCGCGUGAGUGAUGAAGGUCUUCGGAUCGUAAAACUCUGUUAUCAGGGAAGAACAUAUGUGUAAGUAACUGUGCACAUCUUGACGGUACCUAAUCAGAAAGCCACGGCUAACUACGUG
rnacentral:rRNA from 1 species